CUGUGAUGCUGACAUUGAUGGGCGAUUUGCAAUUGACUCAGCUGGGUUUGAACAGCAUUUAAUAUUGCCUUAUGACUGCAAGAAAAAAAAAAGUCAUUCUCAAGAAUUUUACUGACAUUGAGGAAGACAGGAGUAAAUGAAACAAAAAGGAAUAAGAGAACUCCUUUUUCCUGCUUUGUACUCCAAGAAAAUUCUAGAUUAAUAUAAAGAAGAUAACAGAUUUUUCAAGUAUCCAGAAUGAAGAAUUCCAUUGAUUCUGCUUUCUUUCUAGGAGGGUCUGUAAUUUCCAUGGCUCUUUCAAGAGAUCAGGUCGGUUUUUGGUUGAAGAUCGGUGUUUUCUUCUCAGCUGAUUAUCAGUGAUAGCCUUUAAAACAGAUUUACUCGCCUGAAUUAGUUGAGUGUCUAUGUAGUCAGUGACAAAUGCAAGCAUAUUUACUUGCAAUGUUUUCUUUUUCUAGAGGAAAUGUUGUGAAGCCACUGCACGUGAACAGCAUCUCUGGGGAAGAAACACAUGAUUGUGAAUUUUAAAGGAGAGAAUCAACGCCUGUCUGCCUCCAGUCACUCUCUUGUUGCCUUGGCUAUUCUGUUGUUGGGUGUUGUGUCUGAAGAGCCAAGAAGAGCAGAUGUGGGGAAAAAGAAACUGGAGAGCAACAGAAAAUAUCAUAAAAUAGAUAUCUGCCACUCAAAACCAUACGUUUCUCAUAUCUACUUUUGUCUGCUUGCAGAUAGUUCAGGAACCAUGCUACCUGUUCUCUAA
rnacentral:lncRNA from 1 species